ensembl:lincRNA Kantr Kdm5c adjacent non-coding transcript
AGUGGUGGAGCAUCGCUACCCUGCCAGGGUUCGGUGGAGCAUUGCGUGAAGCGUCUGCGUGUCUGCGAGAUCUUGCUGUGGGCCAGGUAUCCAUUCUCCUGCGGCUGCUUAGACCCUACGGAGACUAGAGGUCCGUGGGUGGUGGAGGAUCCUUUGCGUAGCAAAAAAAGAAGGCGAGUGCCCCUGCAUCCUCUCCAGACGGUACCCAGAACAUCCACCAUUAUUAGAACCAUCACCCUGCAGCUAGCUUGGACAUCCUUAAAAGGGCUCAUCAGAAGUAUCUGAUAUUCAUGAAGACAGAGUUUCAGGGUUUCUGCCUGGAGCUACACCCUCCAGGAGCCCCUGCUUGGCUUCCCCUGCACCCAGCCCCAUCCCAACCUGUUACAACUUGGGCUGUGCAUGGUGUUUCUUGGAAACUGGAACACAGACUCCUCCGACUGCUCUCCAGGCCCUUUGUCCUCAAUGAGCAGAAGACCACAGAAGCUGGCUACUGAAGAGGCUGUCCAGAUAGCAGAGCACCUCACUGGCCUUGCUUAGCACCUUUGCUACAGAGCAAGCUCUGAGUGCUCACCACCUGCAGGGAC